rnacentral:rRNA from 1 species
UACGGUAGGGGCUAGCGUUGUCCGGAAUCAUUGGGCGUAAAGCGCGCGUAGGCGGCCCGGUAAGUCCGCUGUAAAAGUCCAGGGCUCAACCCUGGAAAGCCGGUGGAUACUGUCGGGCUCGAGUCCGGAAGAGGCGAGUGGAAUUCCUGGGUGUAGCGGUGGAAUGCGCAGAUAUCAGGAGGAACACCGAUGGCGAAGGCAGCUCGCUGGGACGGUACUGACGCUGAGGCGCGAAGCGUGGGGA